UACGUAGGGGGCAAGCGUUAUCCGGAUUUAUUGGGUUUAAAGGGAGCGUAGGUGGAUUGUUAAGUCAGUUGUGAAAGUUUGCGGCUCAACCGUAAAAUUGCAGUUGAAACUGGCAGUCUUGAGUACAGUAGAGGUGGGCGGAAUUCGUGGUGUAGCGGUGAAAUGCUUAGAUAUCACGAAGAACUCCGAUUGCGAAGGCAGCUUACCAAGCUACUUCUGACGUUGAGGCACGAAAGCGUGGGGAGCAAACAGG
rnacentral:rRNA from 1 species